rnacentral:rRNA from 1 species
GACGUAGGGGGCGAGCGUUGUCCGGAUUUAUUGGGCGUAAAGCGCGCGUAGGCGGUUCGUUAAGUCGGGUGUGAAACCCGGGGCUCAACCUCGGAACUGCCUUUGAUACUGCAAAUCUCGAGUCCGGAAGAGGUGAGUGGAAUUCCUAGUGUAGAGGUGAAAUUCGUAGAUAUUAGGAAGAACACCAGUGGCGAAGGCGGCUCACUGGUCCGGUACUGACGCUGAGGUGCGAAAGCGUGGGGAGCAAACAGG